rnacentral:rRNA from 1 species
UACGAAGGGGGCUAGCGUUGUUCGGAAUCACUGGGCGUAAAGCGCACGCAGGCGGAUUGAUAAGUCGGGGGUGAAAUCCCGGGGCUCAACCUCGGAAUUGCCUUCGAUACUGUCUGUCUUGAGUCCGGGAGAGGUGAGUGGAAUUCCUAGUGUAGAGGUGAAAUUCGUAGAUAUUAGGAAGAACACCAGUGGCGAAGGCGGCUCACUGGUCCGGUACUGACGCUGAGGUGCGAAAGCGUGGGGAGCAAACAGG